rnacentral:rRNA from 1 species
CAGUCGCCGCGGUAAGACAGAGGAUGCAAGCGUUAUCCGGAAUGAUUGGGCGUAAAGCGUCUGUAGGUGGCUUUUCAAGUCCGCCGUCAAAUCCCAGGGCUCAACCCUGGACAGGCGGUGGAAACUACCAAGCUGGAGUACGGUAUGGGCAGAGGGAAUUUCCGGUGGAGCGGUGAAAUGCGUUGAGAUCGGAAAGAACACCUACGGCGAAAGCACUCUGCUGGGCCGACACUGACACUGAGAGACGAAAGCUAGGGGAGCAAAUGGGAUUAGAUACCCCUGUAGUCCCUGUCUCUUAUAC